GAGCUAGACCCGCCGCCGGGGCACAACAUGGCGGAGCCCUCGGCCCCGGAGAGCAAGCACAAGUCGUCCCUCAACUCGUCCCCGUGGAGUGGCCUCAUGGCCCUGGGAAACAGCCGGCACGGCCACCACGGGCCCGGGGCCCAGUGCGCGCACAAGGCGGCGGGCGGCGCGGCGCCGCCGAAGCCGGCCCCGGCGGGGCUGUCCGGGGGGCUGUCGCAGCCGGCUGGGUGGCAGUCGCUUCUCUCCUUCACCAUCCUCUUCCUGGCCUGGCUUGCCGGCUUCAGCUCGCGCCUCUUCGCCGUCAUCCGCUUCGAAAGCAUCAUCCACGAGUUCGACCCUUGGUUUAACUAUAGAUCAACACAUCAUCUUGCAUCUCAUGGGUUCUAUGAAUUUUUAAAUUGGUUUGAUGAAAGAGCAUGGUAUCCACUAGGAAGAAUAGUAGGUGGUACUGUUUACCCAGGGUUGAUGAUAACCGCUGGCCUUAUUCAUUGGAUUUUAAAUACAUUGAACAUAACAGUUCACAUAAGAGAUGUAUGCGUGUUCCUUGCACCAACUUUUAGCGGCCUUACAUCUAUAUCUACUUUCCUGCUUACAAGAGAACUUUGGAACCAAGGAGCAGGACUUUUAGCUGCUUGUUUUAUUGCCAUUGUACCAGGCUACAUAUCUCGGUCAGUAGCUGGAUCCUUUGAUAAUGAAGGCAUUGCUAUUUUUGCACUUCAGUUCACAUACUAUUUAUGGGUAAAAUCUGUAAAAACUGGGUCAGUUUUUUGGACAAUGUGCUGCUGCUUAUCCUAUUUCUAUAUGGUCUCUGCUUGGGGUGGUUAUGUAUUUAUCAUCAAUCUUAUUCCACUGCAUGUAUUUGUGUUGUUACUGAUGCAGAGAUACAGCAAAAGAGUCUACAUAGCAUAUAGCACUUUCUACAUUGUGGGUUUAAUAUUAUCCAUGCAGAUACCUUUUGUGGGAUUCCAGCCAAUCAGAACAAGUGAACACAUGGCAGCUGCAGGUGUCUUUGCAUUGCUGCAAGCUUAUGCUUUCUUGCAGUAUCUGAGAGACCGAUUAACAAAACAAGAGUUCCAGACCCUUUUCUUUUUGGGUGUAUCACUAGCUGCAGGUGCUGUGUUCCUUAGUGUCAUCUAUUUGACUUAUACAGGUUACAUUGCACCAUGGAGUGGCAGAUUUUAUUCACUGUGGGAUACUGGGUAUGCAAAAAUACACAUUCCAAUUAUUGCAUCAGUGUCUGAGCAUCAACCUACGACUUGGGUGUCUUUCUUCUUUGAUCUACAUAUUCUUGUAUGUACCUUCCCAGCAGGCCUUUGGUUCUGUAUCAAAAAUAUCAACGAUGAAAGAGUAUUUGGUGCUUAACCAAGAAAAAUUCAUUGAGAGGCCGGGCAUGGUGGCACACGCCUGUAAUCCCAGCACUUUGGGAGGCCGAGGCGGGUGGAUCACCUGAGGUCAGGAGUUCGAGACCAGCCUGGCCAACAUGGUGAAACCUUGUCUCUACUAAAAAUACAAAAAUUAGCCGAACAUGGUGGUGCAUGCCUGUAAUCCCAGCUACUCAGGAGGCUGAGGCAGGAGAAUUGCUUGAACCUGGGAGGCGGAGGUUGCAGUGAGUGAAGAUCAAGCCACUGCACUCCACCCUGGGAAUCAGAGCAAGACUCUGUCUC
rnacentral:sRNA from 1 species